rnacentral:lncRNA from 1 species
UGAUUACCUUGAAUGUUUGUGCUUUUGGUUGGCUGCGGUGAUGUUGAGUUCAAUGAGAAAAUAGCUGAAAACAAAUUGUGUAUUUUGUUUGCUUAACAAUGCAGGAGGAACUUAGGAAGAAACUGGAGAGGAUCAGGUCAAUCUUACCUCUCGAAUCUUGCAGCAACUAUGACAACUUCCUCAAGCUGUUGAUGCGUAAAGAGAGAAGGAUUUUUGGUGGAUGAUAUAAUAAGGAGUGAAGUUGGUGGCUGUAAAGGGAGGAAAGCAUGGCUUUUGGUGGUUGAAGAGGUGGGGAUCAAAGGAUGGUGGCAGCACACUUAUUUCUUUCC